rnacentral:rRNA from 1 species
UGCCAGCAGCCGCGGUAAUUCCAGCUCCAAUAGCGUAUAUUAAAGUUGUUGCAGUUAAAAAGCUCGUAGUUGAAAUUGGGGUAGAUGUAAUUUGAAAUCUCACGAUUGAUUAUUACUAUACCUUCACGUCUUGUAUAUUAGAAAGUCACUUCAUUGAGAUUUUUUAAUAACGGACAAUUUUACUUUGAAAAAAUUAGAGUGCUUAAAGCAAGCUUACGCUUGUAUAUUGUUGCAUGGAAUAAUAGAAUAAGACUUCGGUUUUAUUUUGUUGGUUUUCUUAACCGAAGUAAUGAUUAAAAGAGACUGCCGGGGGCAUAUGUAUGCUGGUGCUAGAGGUGAAAUUCUGAGACCAUCAGCAGACAAUCAAUU